GACAGAGGCCCCAAGCGUUAGGCGGAAUCACUGGGCUUAAAGCGUGUGUAGGCGGAUAGUUAAGUGUCUUGUGAAAUCCCACGGCUCACCCGUGGAACUGCUGGGCAUACUGGCGAUCUUGGGCCAACUAGGGGCAGUCGGAACAAGCGGUGGAGCGGUGAAAUGCGUAGAUAUCGCUUGGAACGCCGAAGGUGAAAACAGACUGCUGGGGUUGCGCCGACGCUGAGACACGAAAGCCAGGGGAGCAAACGGG
rnacentral:rRNA from 1 species